AUACGUAGGUGGCGAGCGUUGUCCGGAUUUAACUGGGCGUAAAGGGAGCGUAGGUCGGAUUUUUAAGUGAGAUGUGAAAUACUCGGGCUUAACCUGAGUGCUGCAUUUCAAACUGGAAGCCUAGAGUGCAGGAGAGGAGAAGGGAAUUCCUAGUGUAGCGGUGAAAUGCGUAGAGAUUAGGAAGAACACCAGUGGCGAAGGCGCUUCUCUGGACUGUAACUGACGCUGAGGCUCGAAAGCGUGGGGAGC
rnacentral:rRNA from 1 species